rnacentral:misc_RNA from 1 species
AUCCCGAUCCCAAGCACCAUGGAGCCGACGAUUUGGAUCAAGACCUACAUCCCAAGCACCAAGGUGCCUGGUUGAUAUGGAUCGCGAUCCCGAUCUGGAGCUCCAGGGCGCCGAGGAUUUCGAUCACGAUCCCGAUCUGAAGCACCGAGUAGCCGAGGAUAUGGAUCAAGACCCCGGUCCGAAGCGACAAGGAGGCAAGGAUUUGGAUCACCACUCCGAUCAAAGGCACCAAGGCGUCGAGGGAUUGGAUCGAGAUCCCGAUCCCAAUCAUGAAGUUGGCUAUGUAAUUUCCUGUUUUCCACACCGUUCAGGGCAUUUUGGUGGUCGUAUCGGCUUUUAGUUGCUUGCUUGGUGUUAGUGCCAAGGGAGGGGUUGGAAGCUAGGUCGUCCUCUGGAAUGCUUGUUGUAAAGGUGUAUGAGUUGUGUCUGGCUUGUUACGGGUGUUUGUUGGCUGCUUGUGCAGGAACUUUCAUGCGUCCAAGCCUCUUCAGUUGUGCUACAAGGCCUUGUUUGUCUUGUGCAUACGGUGGGUUUCCUGUGUUGCAUACCUAAUCAAGGGCAUCGUAUGGCUUAAUCGAAGUAAAUAUUCGUAAUGCGCCGCUUGCGGCGUUGCACGAACCUCGAAGUGGUCUCUGUGGCCCAUGUUGUCUAUGCUCACGUAUGGAUGGCAUGGCCCUCGGAGCGUCGCUUGGUCUCUUGGAUACGGAACCUGAUGAUGUGGGCGGUAGGGUCUUGGAUGAUUCUACCUUCGC